GUAUAAGAAUUUGCUGCAAUUAGAUGCUUGUGUCCUAUUGGCCAGUAUGAUACAGAUAGUUUCUUUUCUUAAACUAAAAAGAAAUAAAAGAGAAGAAAAGACACUGGUGAAUGUGGACAAGGCCAACAUGCACUUUGGGAACCAAAGAAAAAAUCUGAGAUUGCAAAAGUCCUUCAGGGCGGCGACCACAUCUUCUACAUUUGAGGCAGUGUGAUAAAGAAACUCAUGGAAGUAGAAUUAGAUGCAAACAAUUACGGUCUAUGUUCUGAAACCAAUUAGUCAUCCAGCAUUUAGCAGCAAUCAAAGCCAACCUCUGCAAAUUAAUCAGCCUGCAAAAUACCAAGAAUGAAGAAAAAGGAUAUUGAUUCCUGGAAAAGUCACCUAUAUUUUAUUUUCUCAUUAAAAAUGAUCACAGAAUGCUAUUCUAAAAUGUGAACAUGAAGUAUAAAACAGACUAGUUCCUUUUCGCUAAUACUUCUAUGAGCAUCUCAGAAUUACUCCAUGAAACUCUUUUGGUUUAAUUUUCAGCUGGGUAGAGAAUUGUUAAAUAAACUCUUAAAGCAUCGUUUGCCUUGUGUUUUUUUUUUCUUCAGUGUGUUAGAGUCUUAGGGUUAUCAGUAUUUACUGAUAACUCCAUUGAGUGUUCUUUCUU